rnacentral:lncRNA from 1 species
CAAGUUGAAAUACUGAUACUGAAAUCAUUAUGGUCAUUACUGUAAUGAUUAAAAUGUUAAGAAAAAGCUAGAGAUUGAGUUUCAAGAAAAGACCCUUGGGUUACUGUAAUGACCGAGCUGGAGUCUAGUUAUUUGACGUCAGGAAGUUAGUUGUAGAAGAUAUUCCAAAUAACAGAUUGCAUGUGUCGGUUAAUUGAUCGAGCAUGUGAGUCCUUUCAUAUUGCAUGCGUUAGUUAUAUUGUUAGAAUACCAGAAACUAGUAUAAAGCAGAGGAGGAAGAGAAGAGAUGUAGUUUUUGGAUGUAACAAUUCUCAUUUUCCGUCUAUACUAUCUUAGUCUUCCCCUGCUCUCUCUUCUCAUUUCCUCUGUAUCUGCAUUUCUCUCAAUUUCUGUCUUGAAUCCGUCCCUUGUUGGGCAGGUCCAGUACAAUUGGUAUCAGACGCUUGCGGUCCUUGGAUCUGCAAGCUCAACUACCGAAUCUGUAGCUGACUAUGGCGGAGGGCACCAGAAUGAAAGGCUUCGAGGAACAACUGAGGAAGCAGGAUUCUCGGAUCCAGAGCAUCCUUGAAGCCAAUGCAGCUGAAAGACUAGCACUGGAAGAGAAAUUGGCAACAAAUCACUCUGAUAUGAAGGCACUCUUGGAAGCGAACUCAGCUGAGAUGAAAAAUUUCAUGGUUUCCAUGAAUGCUCAAUACACCGCUUUUGUGAGAAGCUUGCAAAGCGACCGAGGGAUCUUAGGAAUUUCACCAGACAAUACGGAGAGGCAACCUGUCCAAAGGCCUCAGAGAAACUUGGAGUUGGGGCUAUCCAAUCAAGGAGAGAGGAAUUUCCUACCUGUAGGGACUCCUAAGGUGGAAUUCCCCAAAUUUGAUGGCUCUAACCCCAGAGAAUGGGUCAGGAGAUGUGAGAAGUUUUUCCGUUUAUGUCGCAUUCCUGAUUCGCAGCAUAUGGAUUUAGUGGAAUUGCAUCUGGAUGGGAAAGCUAGUAUUUGGUAUCAAGGUUUCAAGAUGGACAAGGGGGAGUUACGAUGGGACAGAUUCAGCCAAGAGUUUUGUAGUCGAUUUGGGAAUUUAGGGGAGGAUGACGUUAUAGAGGAGUUUAACAAGCUUCAUCAAACUUCCACAGUAAUUCACUACCAAGAAAGGUUUGAAGAGCUGCGAGCUGCCGUGAUGCUCAAGGUCCCUGGUCUUACUGAAUCAUAUUACAUCUCCAGUUUCCUAAGUGGCCUAAAGGAGGAGAUUAAGUCUGUGGUCAAGAUCCACAAACCUGCGCCCUUGCAAUCAGCAUUUGAGAAGGCGAGAUGGCAGGAGCAUUACUUACAGGUUAUGGCUAAGCAAUCUAGGAUGGCUACAAAACUAACUCAGGUUACGGAGACAAUACAGAAGAAGCCUGCACAUCAGAUGUUUGAUAGCAGCAACAACAAAACUACUCCCCAAGGCUCUAGGAGGAUUACCCCCACUGAGUUCCAGUACAGGAAGGAUCACAAUUUAUGUUUCAAAUGUGGAGAGAAGUUCUCCCCUGGGCAUGUUUGCAGGAAUAAGGGAAUUCAUUUGCUGCUAGCAGAUGAGGGCGAGGCUCAAGUAGAGGAAGUAGCAGAUGAAGAGGAUGAGGUCAUUGAGUAUCAAGGCAACAAGUAUGGCAGGGAUAUUACACUAUCCCUCCACUCAGUUUCUGGCCAAUUGUCUUCCAGUACCAUUAAGAUGUUGGGAGAUUAUGGUGAUCAAGAGGUGUCAAUCCUGCUGGAUGGAGGUAGCACCAACUGCUUCAUAAAGCCAACUAUUGCUCAACUCUACCCUGAAGCUGUUAAGAAUCAUAAACCUUUUAAAGUCAGAAUUGCUGAUGGGAAAGAAUUAGUUUGUGAGCAAUGGAUUCCUGGUAUGAAGUGGAUGAUGCAAGGCCAUCAUUUUACUCACAAUGUGUAUGUACUAGACUUGGAACCGUACGACCUGAUUUUGGGGGUUGACUGGAUGAAGUGUUAUAGCCCCAUGACUUUUGACUUUCAAAAGUUGUCACUAUCAUUUGAGAAGGAGGGUGAAAUGGUGUUACUACAAGGGGAUUCCCACUCUGCCAAGGUGUUGAUGAAGCAAGGAGUAUCAGCCCAGAAGUAUUGCAGAAACAAAAUCAGAACAGCCUUGCAACACUCUUGCAUGAUACGAGUACAAAACUCACAGGUAACUACUGUGCCCAAAACACUCACUCAAUUACUUGCUCAAUAUGAUGACAUAUUUGCUGCACCUACAACUUUACCCCCCAACCGUAGCCUCAAUCACCAAAUACCUUUGAAACCUGAUGCUAAACCUUUCAAGAUUAGGCCCUAUAGGUACCCCCACAGGCAAAAAACAGAAAUAGAAAGGCAAGUCAAGGAAAUGUUGGCCACUGGUAUCAUCCAAACCAGCCAUAGUCCUUUUGCAUCCCCAGCCUUACUAGUUAAAAAGAAGGAUGGCACUUGGAGGUUAUGCAUUGACUAUAGACAACUUAACAGCCUCACUAUCAAAGACAAGUUUCCCAUCCCAAUCAUUGAUGACCUCCUAGAUGAACUGCAGGGUGCCAAAAUUUUUUCAAAAAUUGAUUUGAGGUCAGGGUACCAUCAGAUAAGAAUGCAUCCAUCUGAUAUCCAAAAAACAGCUUUCAGGACCCACUCUGGCCUCUAUGAAUACUUAGUGAUGCCAUUUGGCCUCACUAAUGCACCAGCAACUUUCCAGGCUCUAAUGAACUCGGUAUUUGAACCUUUUAUUCGAAAAUUUGUGCUAGUGUUCUUUGAUGACAUUCUAGUUUACAGCCCGGAUUUUGACUCCCAUCUCAAACACCUCUCCCUUGUUCUUGACACCCUCAGAAAUCACUCCUUAUAUGCAAAAAUGUCUAAGUGUUCAUUUGGGCAAGAUAGAGUAGAGUACUUGGGGCAUAUAGUUACUGGUGAGGGAGUCUCUGCUGAUCCUGCAAAAGUGGAAGCUAUGCUGUCCUGGCCAUCUCCUACCACUGUUAAAGGUUUAAGGGGUUUUUUGGGACUGACAGGAUACUACAGGAGAUUUGUGAAGGGAUAUGGGAAGAUAGCUAAACCUUUAACUAAUCUGCUAAAGAAGGAUGGUUUCGGGUGGGAUGAACAAGCUGAGCAAGCUUUCCAAGAACUCAAACAUGCUAUGACUCAAGCUCCUGUACUAGCACUUCCUGAUUUCCUUGGAACAUUUGUAUUGGAAACCGAUGCUAGCCAAAAGACCAUUGGAGCAGUUUUGAUGCAGCAAGGUAGGCCUAUUGCUUUCAUGAGUCAGGCACUUGGACCCAAAAAUCAAACACUGUCCAUAUAUGAAAAGGAAUUAUUGUCAUUGAUUACUGCAGUAGGGAAAUGGAGACACUACUUGCUAGGAACUCACUUCAUAAUCAAAACUGAUCAUGAAAGUUUGAAAUACUUACUGGAACAAAAAAUCACUACACCUCUCCAGCAAAAAUGGUUAGCAAAGCUGAUGGGACUAGAUUAUGAGAUCCAAUAUAAAAGGGGUAAGGAUAACUUGGUGGCUGAUGCUCUAUCUAGAAGGAUGGAAGGAAGGGAUGAAGGGUCAGGUGGUGAGGAGGUGCAGGUCCAUGCCAUUACCACAGCAAAGCCAUUAUGGUUAGCAAGGGUCUCUAGCAGUUAUAAUUGGGAUGAGAAGGCCAAGGAACUACUGACUGCACUAGCGGUAGACAAAUCUAGUGUGCACGAUUACACAUACCAUCAAGGGAUUAUCAGGUAUAUGGGAAGAAUGUAUAUUGGGAGUAACUCAGAAUUAAGGGCUCAGCUCAUCAAUUGCAUGCAUGAUUCUGCAAUUGGAGGGCACUCGGGGAACCAAGGAACAUACCAGAGAAUGAAGAACUAUUUCUACUGGCCAGGCAUGAAAAAGGAUGUGGAAUCUUACGUACAGGCUUGUGACAUUUGCAAGAGGAGUAAAGGGGAGCAUUGCUCCUACCCAGGGUUGUUGCAGCCAUUGUCAAUUCCUGAGCAAGCAUGGCAGGAAAUUUCUAUGGAUUUUAUUGAAGGACUACCCAAAUCAUAUGGUCAUAAUGUCAUUUUUGUGGUGGUAGACAGAUUUACAAAAUAUGCUCACUUCACCUCCAUGACUUCUCACUACACUGCUAAGAGUGUGGCUCAGGUAUUCUUCGACCAAAUAUUCAGGUUACAUGGGCUGCCUAAUGGGAUUGUAUCUGAUAGAGACAAAGUGUUCACUAGUAUAUUCUGGCAAGAGCUUUUUAAGCAAGUAGGGACUGGACUUAGUUUCUCUUCUUCCUAUCACCCUCAGUCUGAUGGACAAACUGAGAGGGUGAAUAGGUGUCUAGAGACUUACUUAAGAGCUAUGUGCUUGCAGCAACCAGGCCAUUGGAAAAGGUGUUUACCUGCAGCUGAAUGGUGGUACAACACUAACUUCCACUCCAGUUUGCAGAUGACUCCGUUCCAAGCUUUAUAUGGCUACAAACCAUCCCAAUUGAGUUUGCACUCAAGUGACACUCAAGUUGCUGCUGUGGAGGAUUGGAUAAAGGAAAGGGUAAACUGGAAUACAUUGCUCAGGGAAAAUUUAUUGCAGGCUCAGAACCGAAUGAAGCAGUUUGCAGACAAACACAGAAUAGAUAGGUCCUUUGCUGAGGGUGAUUGGGUGUAUCUCAAGCUGCAGCCGUAUAGGCAGACUACGGUAGCACUAAGGAGGAACUUGAAGCUGGCAGCCAAGUAUUAUGGCCCAUAUCAGGUGGAAAAGAAGAUUGGGUCAGUUGCUUAUAGGCUCAAGCUUCCACAGGGUGCUGCUAUUCACCCUGUUUUCCAUGUUUCACUCUUGAAACCAACAUCUAAGGGAGCUCCUAUCAGCAAUGAAUUGCCACAAAUAUCGGAGGAAGGGCUCUACACUACUGCCCCCACUGCGGUUCUAGACAGAAGAAUGAUAGACAGGGCUGGUCAGCAGGUGGAGCAGGUCUUAAUUUGUUGGAAGAACAUGAAUGAGGAGGAUGCUACCUGGGAGGACUUGACUGUUAUACAAAGCCAAUUUCCAUCCUUCAAUCCUAGAGACUAGGAUUGUUUGAAGGGAGGGCAACUGUAAUGACCGAGCUGGAGUCUAGUUAUUUGACGUCAGGAAGUUAGUUGUAGAAGAUAUUCCAAAUAACAGAUUGCAUGUGUCGGUUAAUUGAUCGAGCAUGUGAGUCCUUUCAUAUUGCAUGCGUUAGUUAUAUUGUUAGAAUACCAGAAACUAGUAUAAAGCAGAGGAGGAAGAGAAGAGAUGUAGUUUUUGGAUGUAACAAUUCUCAUUUUCCGUCUAUACUAUCUUAGUCUUCCCCUGCUCUCUCUUCUCAUUUCCUCUGUAUCUGCAUUUCUCUCAAUUUCUGUCUUGAAUCCGUCCCUUGUUGGGCAGGUCCAGUACAGUUACUUGGCGCUAAGAUAGGCAUUGGUCAUUUAAGUUUCCUAUUCUUUGGGAAAUUCACUAUUAUUUGACCAUUUCAAUAUUCUUUUACCAUACUAGAGCUACUGUGUUUGGUUGACUGUAUCAUUGAUAGCUAUUUAAUGUAACUUGUCUUUACUCCUCACAGCUAAAAUGGAUUGAUGAGGAUUUCCUGAGCUAUGACUUUGUGUUCAAC